AUGUCAGCGGUUCGAGUCCGCUUAUCUCCAGCCCGUGAACUUAGCGGAUACUAUGAUAGCGAUAGCACCGAAUUUUGCCAAUUCAGCAGUUCGAUCUAUGAUUUCACAUUCAUGGACGUUGAUAAGAUCCUUCCAUUUAGUAGCACCUUAGGAUGGCAUAGCCUUAACGUUAGUGGCGAGGUUCAAAAGAGGAAAGGCUUGCGGUGGAUACCUAGGCACCCGGAGACGAGGAAGGGCGUAGCAAGCGACGAAAUGCUUCGGGGAGUUGAAAAUAAGCAUAGUUCCGGAGAUUCCCAAAUAGGUCAACCUUUUAAACUGCCUGCUGAAUCCAUGAGCAGGCAAGAGACAACCUGGCGAACUGAAACACCUUAG
rnacentral:rRNA from 1 species